rnacentral:misc_RNA from 1 species
GAUGAAGAACGUAGCGAAAUGCGAUAAGUCGUGUGAAUUGCAGAAUUCAGUGAAUCAUCGAAUCUUUGAACGCACAUUGCGCCCCUUGGUAUCCCGAGGGGCAUGCCUGUUCGAGCGUCAUUUCACCACUCAAGCCUGGCUUGGUGUUGGGCGACGUCCCCUUUGGGGACGCGCCUCGAAACGCUCGGCGGCGUGGCACCGGCUUUAAGCGUAGCAGAAUCUUUCGCUUUGGAAGUCGGGGCCCCGCCUGCCGGAAUACCUACUUGUAAGGUUGACCUCGGAUCAGGCAGGGAUACCCGCUGAACUUAAGCAUAUCAAUAAGCGGAGGA